CCUACGGGAGGCAGCAGUGGGGAAUAUUGCACAAUGGGCGGAAGCCUGAUGCAGCAACGCCGCGUGCGGGAUGACGGGCUUCGGGUUGUAAACCGCUUUCGCCUGUGACGAAGCGUGAGUGACGGUAAUGGGUAAAGAAGCACCGGCUAACUACGUGCCAGCAGCCGCGGUAAU
rnacentral:rRNA from 1 species